rnacentral:rRNA from 1 species
CCUACGGGAGGCUGCAGUGGGGAAUAUUGGACAAUGGGGGCAACCCUGAUCCAGCCAUGCCGCGUGUGUGAAGAAGGCCCUCGGGUUGUAAAGCACUUUCAGUGAGGAAGAACGCCUGGUGGUUAAUACCCAUCAGGAAAGACAUCACUCACAGAAGAAGCACCGGCUAACUCCGUGCCAGCAGCCGCGGUAAUACGGAGGGUGCGAGCGUUAAUCGGAAUUACUGGGCGUAAAGCGCGCGUAGGUGGCUUGAUAAGCCGGUUGUGAAAGCCCCGGGCUCAACCUGGGAACGGCAUCCGGAACUGUCAAGCUAGAGUGCAGGAGAGGAAGGUAGAAUUCCCGGUGUAGCGGUGAAAUGCGUAGAGAUCGGGAGGAAUACCAGUGGCGAAGGCGGCCUUCUGGACGGACACUGACACUGAGGUGCGAAAGCGUGGGUAGCAAACAGGAUUAGAUACCCCAGUAGUC